UGAUAUGAUGAUACAUUUUUAACCCAGAGCUACUUGCUUUGACGAACAAAAACAGCAACAACAAACACUCUAAUUUUUUGCUGACA
rfam:Aspergillus luchuensis DNA, map: 2-4 R, contig: AA1_SCon_021, strain: RIB 2604.